rnacentral:tRNA from 2 species
GGGCCCGUAGCUCAGGUGGUUAGAGCGCAUCCCUGAUAAGGAUGAGGUCGAAGGUUCAAGUCCUUCCGGGCCCACGA